CUAGCGACUUCAGAGUUUGAUCCUGGCUCAGGAUGAACGCUGGCGGCGUGCUUAACACAUGCAAGUCGAGCGAAGCGCCUGAUCUGAUCUCUUCGGAUUGAAGUGAAGGAUGACUGAGCGGCGGACGGGUGAGUAACGCGUGGGGAACCUGCCCCAUACCGGGGGAUAACAGUUAGAAAUGACUGCUAAUACCGCAUAAGCGCACACGGAGGCAUCUUCGAGUGUGAAAAACUCCGGUGGUAUGGGAUGGACCCGCGUUGGAUUAGCCAGUUGGCGGGGUAACGGCCCACCAAAGCGACGAUCCAUAUCCGGCCUGAGAGGGCGACCGGCCACAUUGGGACUGAGACACGGCCCAA
rnacentral:rRNA from 1 species